rnacentral:rRNA from 1 species
GGGUUGUGAGGUUAAGCGACUAAGCGUACACGGUGGAUGCCCUGGCAGUCAGAGGCGAUGAAGGACGUGCUAAUCUGCGAUAAGCGUCGGUAAGGUGAUAUGAACCGUUAUAACCGGCGAUUUCCGAAUGGGGAAACCCAGUGUGAUUCGUCACACUAUCAUUAACUGAAUCCAUAGGUUAAUGAGGCGAACCGGGGGAACUGAAACAUCUAAGUACCCCGAGGAAAAGAAAUCAACCGAGAUUUCCCCAGUAGCGGCGAGCGAACGGGGAGCAGCCCAGAGCCUGAAUCAGUGUGUGUGUUAGUGGAAGCGUCUGGAAAGGCGCGCGAUACAGGGUGACAGCCCCGUACACAAAAAUGC